AAUUAAACAAGGCUUAUGAAACCCAUCCAUAAAAAAAUGCACAGUAAGAGCAUUUGCAAAGUAUGAGCAUUCAACCAUCAAAAUUUUCAUUAAAAAAAUACAAAAAUAAUAUUAGAGAAAAUACAAGGCAAACAACACAAAUGAAUAGAAGCAGCACUGCUGUUUUCCUCAAGCUGUAGUUUAUUCACAUUAGUAAGAACUAAGAAGAGUA
rnacentral:misc_RNA from 1 species